rnacentral:rRNA from 1 species
UGCGUAGGCGGAAUGGUAAGUCAGGGGUGAAAGUUUGCGGCUCAACCGUAAAAUUGCCUUUGAUACUGUCAUUCUUGAGUACAUUUGAGGUAGGCGGAAUGUGGCGUGUAGCGGUGAAAUGCUUAGAUAUGCCACAGAACACCGAUUGCGAAGGCAGCUUACUAAACUGUAACUGACGCUGAUGCACGAAAGCGUGGGGAUCGAACA